AGCAGCAAAGUUCCCGCGCUCACCGUCGGCCACGAAGAGCAGCAGGGCGUGCAGCAGCAGCGGCGGCAGAUGAGGAAUCUGAAGCUCAGCAUUGCCCAAAGUGACACAACUACAAGGUGCACAGCUGGUAUGCAAACCAGGUUGUUUGCCUCUAGAGCCCAUCAAGAUGAAGAUUCCAGGAAAAGAGAAGCUGAAGUAUGAAAGCUAAAUAGCCCAUCCAGUUAAAAAUAAAAUGAAACAAAAAAACUAGCAAGUGGAUGAUCUACAUAGUCCAACUUCCAAUGUGCCUGCUAUUCCUGGAUUCUAGCCUCCAUCUUCUGUGAGAGGACGGAUACCCAGCCACAGAGUCACCCCCUUCCCUGCUACAACUCUGGACUGGAACCCAGAACAAUGGGCUCCUUUACUUAUCGAUGGUGUGUCUUUGAGGAAGUGAUGUUAUCAAAAUUACAAACAGGAGACUUCCGUCUCUGUCUCCCCCACAAGAUCAACAAUUAGGCAGUGACCACAAACAAAUACAGCUCUGCAAGAGCUCUGGGGCCCACUAAAGAAACUUUGGCAACGUGGUAAAUAAAAAACCCGAGAACUGCUGCAUAAAAAGAGAAGAAAGUAAGCUUCAUUUUACUUAAAUUAACCCAUCCCCCAACCACUGCUUAGUGCCAAGAGAAAAUGUCCCAACUAGAAGGAGUUCUCCAUGCCAGGGAAGGGAGAGCAGGAUGACCUACUGGCUUCCCCAGACUUUCAGGGGCACUUCACUGAGGUCUGGGAAAGUGGAGAUGAACACAGACAGUUAGGAACAGGGAAGGAAAACAGGUUCUACCAGUAACAGCCAGGCAGCAAGAGCACCGGUACUUCCCAGAGACCUGCUCUGCGACAACCACAGCAGAUUUCUCCACUGAAGAAAUGGCCAGCAUAGCUGCUGUGGGGCCCCUGCAGACUUCACCAGACUUUGCCACACAGGUAUUCACCAGCUGGCCGAGUCCCUCUCACCCUGACUGGAGCCCAGGCCUCUGAGGCUGCGCAAGGGCAAGAUGCCAGCCUGGACCCUUGCAGCUGACCGCCUACCAAUAUGUGGGUGCUUGGGGCCGUCCGCAGCCUCUCUGCAGUGCUCAUGCUUGGGGGAGACCACUCCCACAGGAGAAUGUGCCAACGGCCAGGACCCCACCAGCUGCCAGGGAGCCCAGAGUUGGCCCUGGCCCUUUCUGCCUGUCUUGACUUUCACCACUAUGUAUGUGUCUAAAACUGGCCCCUGCCACUAUACAGGCACCGGUGGCUGGCCACCACAUACCAGUGUGUGCACGCCUCUGACUCUGGCACUGCUGCCUGCCAUGGUGCCUGGCCUCUGAACUUGGCGGAGCCACCCAGGAUCCCAACAGCCCUUGCAGUGACCGUGAUCCUCCACAGUGUCCAUCAAGGACCAGAAACUUGUUGAUGCUUUUGGACCCUUGAGCCAAAGAUACCACACGCACCCCCCGAACCCGGUGCCACCACAUGCCUCCAAACUUGCUUUCCUGCAUCAUUUGACCCAGGGUGAGAACACGUGCCCCUACCCACAGAUGAAAGUUUUGCUUUCCUGAAGUCAGUCCACAAAAUCUAGAGGAAGUGACUGCUUCUUCAAAUGAACAGCUGAUAGAAGGCAACAUGAAUACCCCAAAUCAGGAAAACAGGACUUCACCAAAGGAAUAUAGUAAACCUCCAGUAACUGGCCUCAAGGGCGUGGAGAUCCAGGAAUUGUGCAAUGAAGAAUUCAAAAUAAUUAUUCUAUAGAUGUCCAGAGAGCUGCAAGAGAAUACAGACAUAGGAGUUAAUGAUACAAGAAAACAAUACAAGAACAAAACGAGAAGAAAAAAAAAGAGAAAACAUGAAAAAGAACCAAACAGA